rnacentral:rRNA from 2 species
GGAAGUAAAAGUCGUAACAAGGUUUCCGUAGGUGAACCUGCGGAAGGAUCAUUACCGAGUUAGGGACCGACAGCCCCGCUGCCGCCGGGGGAGACCACGCUCGUCCCCUGGAGAGCGUCCUCGUGGCCCAACCAAACAAACUCCCAAACCAAAAUGUGAAACAUUCUGAAUCAGACUUUUGAUAUACCAAUCAAAAACAAAACUUUCAACAACGGAUCUCUUGGUUCUGGCAUCGAUGAAGAACGCAGCGAAAUGCGAUAAGUAAUGUGAAUUGCAGAAUUCCGUGAGUCAUCGAAUCUUUGAACGCACAUUGCGCCCUGGCAUUCCGAAGGGCAUGCCUGUUCGAGCGUCAUUUCCUCCCUCCAACUUUGCUUGGUGUUGGACCGCGUUGGACUUCGCGGCUCUCAAAGACAAUGACGGCGUCGGGACCCUCUUCGCACUGAGCUUUCGGAGCACGCGUCGAGUGCAAGGUCUCGUGGGCCCGGCCACCUCUCUAAUAGGUUGACCUCGGAUCAGGUAGGGAUACCCGCUGAACUUAAGCAUAUCAAUAAGCGGAGGA